rnacentral:ncRNA from 1 species
GCACAGAAACGGCAAACCUACCGAAAGGUAGGGGCGCAAUGCCACGGUCUACACGACCUCCUGACCUAAGACGUCACACGGUCGCAUGACAGUCGGGCUGCCUAG